UACAGAGGCCACGAGCGCUAGUCGUAAUCACUGGGCUUAAAGGGUGCGUAGGCGGACCCGUAAGUGUUCUGUGAAAGCCCCCGGCUCAACCGGGGAACAGCAGGGCAUACUGCGGGUCUUGAGACAGGUAUGGGCCGCUGGAACAGUAGGUGGAGCGGUGAAAUGCGUAGAUAUCUACUGGAACGCCGAUGGUGAAAACGAGCGGCUGGGCCUAUCCUGACUCUGAGGCACGAAAGCGUGGGGAGAAAACAGA
rnacentral:rRNA from 1 species